AACAGGAAGCACUGAAUCUGAUCAUGGCUUCCAGACAGCAGGACGAGAGUCUUGCCAAGGAUUUAAAUGGUCCCAUUUGUCAGGAUAUCUGCAUCGAUCUGGUCGCACUAGAUCGUGUGCACCAUAUUUGCUGCUCCAGUACCACCCGGAGGUAGGAAAAGGAGGUAAAUGUAGAGAGGAGUUUCCGGAAAGAAACCUCAGGGAAAAUCGGACCUUAGCGAAUCUGGCCGAGGAGGCGCGAAAAUUAAAACUGGGCCUGAAAGAGAGGAAGCUCCAGAAUCAGCUGAAAUCCUCCUUAGAUUCUUUCACAGAGAAAAAAAUCGAUGGCUGUCGACAUGGAACUGGAGCAAACAGAAGAUUUCCGAAGUGAGGGUGUACUGAUUUUCUGGGAUCUUGUUUAGUUUUGUUCCCUUUAUUCGUGGAUAUCAAAAAUGUUUUGGUAGGAGCCGGCGAGCACCCUGCAGACCCACAUCACACCCGGGUUCAUUAAAAUGCUUCAGAUUCUCACCGAGAAAGAGUAGUGUGUACUCAGAAAUCUCAGGGAAGAAGAGGAGAGGAUUCUAGAACCAGUGGAGAAAAACCUUCGGAAAUUCAGGAGUAUUUGAAUACUAUUGAAGAGAAUAUUUCUAAAUUGCAGAAAGAGGUGGAACAAGGUGAAGGAAUAUGCAUUGCUUUCCACCUGAAGUGGGUGCAUGUUCCCACUGUCCAGUUGAGUAUCCUGGCAAGGUGAUGAUUGCUGAAAUAUCUGAAUACCAUUUCAAGAGAACUAUCAUCCUAAUUACUCCAGGUGGAGGCUCAUAAAAUCAUCAGGUGAUUCGUAAAUGGAAUGGCACUUCAAGAAUCCAUUCUUGGAAGCAUUGUGCAAAUAAAGCAAAUAAUAUUUAUAAUUUCUCCUUCUUGGCUAUAAUAAUGAACUAUACAGUGCUUUUAUUUGAAGAAAAACGGGUUAUCAGAGAUUUAUCUGGGAGGAGGUCCAUUGUUCAAACAUGAUCAUGAAUCAUGAAAAUAAGUUAUAAUUCCACAUGCAAAGCAAACAUCUUUUAUUUUGCAUUGUGAACCAAAAGAUGAAAAGGUCUGUUUUAAAUCAAUGACUGGAAAGAGUUGCUGCACUUUCAUAAACAAAUCUUUAGAACAUUCCUUUUCAAGCAAAAGAUGACAGUUGCAGCUUGUUUUCCUGUGUUUUCUGUACCAGCCAGCAGUUUUGUCUUCUGUGGCUGCUUUCUUUGCACUGGCUGUUUGUUACAUUGUAUAAGAAAGAGUUUCGUUCCAAGGCUGGACUUCUGGCUGGACCAAAAUCAUGAACAGUGCCAGGAAACAAGCUCAGCCUUCGAUCGAGGCAAGCCCGAUGGCCAG